AUGUCGGGUGAAGACAAGCAUCAGGAGCAAACUAUCACCAAGGACCUGGUCGUGACCAAGUAUAAGAUGUAGAGGAACAUCACCAAUCAGGAGCUUCAAUCAUUGGUGGAAGCUUCCAGCUCAAGUGUGUCUGUGCUGAGCUUGUGUGAGAAAAGUGACACCAUGAUUAUGGAAGAGACAGGGAAGAUCUUCAUGAAGGAAAAGGAGUUGAAGAAAGGUAUUGCCUUUCCUACCAGCAUUUCCAUAAAUAACUGUGUGUGUCACUUCUCCCCUUCUAAGAGUGACCAGGACUAUAUACUCAAGGAAGGUGACUUGGUAAAAAUUGACCUUGGGGUUCAUGUGGAUGGGUUCAUUGCCAACGUGGCUCACAUUUUUGUAAUUGGUGUAGCUCAGGGGACCCAAGUCACGGGGCAGAAAGCAGAUGUCAUUAAGGCGACUCACUUAUGUGCCAAAGCUGCUUUACAACUGACUGGUCAAAUCUGGAAACCAGAGCACAAAAGUGACAGAAGCCUGGAGCAAAGUUGCUCACUCAUUUAAUUGCACACCAAUAGAAGGUAUGUUGUCACACUGUUGGACCCAGCAUGUGAUCGACGGAGAGAAAACCAUUAUCCAGAAUCCUACAGACCAGCAGAAGAAGGAUCAUGAAAGGGCAGAAUUUGAGGUGCAUGAGGUUUAUGCUGUGGAUAUCUUUGUCAGCUCAGGAGAAGGUGAGGCCAAAGAUGCAGGACAGAGAACCACCAUUUACAUGUGAGACCCCUCUAAACAAUAUGGCCUAAAAAUAAAACUUUCACAUGCCUUUUUCAGUGAGGUGGAAAGGCAUUUUGAUGCCAUGCUGUUUAAUUUAAGAGCAUUUGAAGAUGAGAAGAAGGCUUGAAUGGGCGUGGUAGAGUGUACCAAGCAUGAGUUACUGCAGCCAUUCAAUGUUUUCUAUGAGAAGGAGGGUGAGUUUGUUGCUCAGUUUAAAUUUACAGUUCUACUCAUGCUCAAUGGCCCCAUGCUGAUAACCAGUGGUCCCUUUGAGCCUGACCUGUACAAGUCUGAGAUGGAGGUUCAGGAUGCAGAGCUGAAGGCUUCUCCAGAGUUCUGCAAGUCAAAAAACCCAGAAAAAGAAGAAAAUGAAGGCCUCCAAGACUGCAGAGAAUGCCACCAGUGGAGAUAUAGUAGAAGAGAAUGGAGCUGGGGACUGAGGUGGGUCCCC